AGAGUUUGAUCCUGGCUCAGGACGAACGCUGGCGGCGUGCUUAACACAUGCAAGUCGAGCGGAAAGGCCCUUCGGGGUACUCGAGCGGCGAACGGGUGAGUAACACGUGAGUAACCUGCCCCUGACUCUGGGAUAAGCCCGGGAAACUGGGUCUAAUACCGGAUAUGACACCUCCUCGCAUGGGGUGGGUGUGGAAAGUUUUUCGGUUGGGGAUGGACUCGCGGCCUAUCAGCUUGUUGGUGGGGUAAUGGCCUACCAAGGCGACGACGGGUAGCCGGCCUGAGAGGGCGACCGGCCACACUGGGACUGAGACACGGCCCAGACUCCUACGGGAGGCAGCAGUGGGGAAUAUUGCGCAAUGGGCGAAAGCCUGACGCAGCGACGCCGCGUGGGGGAUGACGGCCUUCGGGUUGUAAACCUCUUUCAGCAGGGACGAAGUUGACGUGUACCUGCAGAAGAAGCGCCGGCUAACUACGUGCCAGCAGCCGCGGUAAUACGUAGGGCGCAAGCGUUGUCCGGAAUUAUUGGGCGUAAAGAGCUCGUAGGUGGCUUGUCACGUCGGGUGUGAAAGCUUGGGGCUUAACUCCAGGUCUGCAUUCGAUACGGGCUGGCUAGAGGUAGGUAGGGGAGAACGGAAUUCCUGGUGUAGCGGUGAAAUGCGCAGAUAUCAGGAGGAACACCGGUGGCGAAGCCGGUUCUCUGGGCCUUACCUGACGCUGAGGAGCGAAAGCGUGGGGAGCGAACAGGAUUAGAUACCCUGGUAGUCCACGCCCUAAACGAUGGAUACUAAGCGUAGGAGGUAUCGACCCCUCCUGUGCCGCAGCAAACGCAUUAAGUAUCCCGCCUGGGGAGUACGGCCGCAAGGUUGAAACUCAAAUGGAUUGACGGGGACCCGCACAAGCGGUGGAGCAUGUGGAUUAAUUCGAUACUAACCGAAGAACCUUACCCACUCUUGACAUUGAAGGAAAGCUCUAGAGAUAGAGCCCUCUCUCACAAGGAGACCUGAAAACAGAUGUUGCAUGGCUGUCGUCAGCUCGUGCCGUGAGGUGUACGGUUAAGUCCGCCAACGAGCGCAACCCUCGUUCUGUGUUACCAGCGAGUAAUGUCGGGCACUCACAGGAGACCGCCGGUGUAAGCCGGAGGAAGGUGGGGAUGAUGUCAAGUCAGCAUGGCUCUUACGAGUGGGGCUUCACACAUGCUACAAUGGGCGCAACAAAGGGCAGCGAUACCGCGAGGUGGAGCAAAUCCCAAAAAUACGUCCUCAGUUCAGAUUGCAGUCUGCAACUCGACUGCAUGAAGGCGGAAUCGCUAGUAAACGCAGGUCAGCUAUACUGCGUUGAAUACGUUCCCGGGUCUUGUACACACCGCCCGUCAAGUCACUUGAAUUGUCUUCACCCGAAGUCCGUGGCCUAACCCGCAAGGGAAGGAGCGGCCGAAGGUGAGGGGGGUAAGAGGGACUAAGUCGUAACAAGGUA
rnacentral:rRNA from 1 species